rnacentral:rRNA from 1 species
AUUGAACGCUGGCGGCAUGCUUUACACAUGCAAGUCGAACGGUAACAGGCCUUCGGGUGCUGACGAGUGGCGAACGGGUGAGUAAUGCAUCGGAACGUACCCAGAGGUGGGGGAUAACGCAGCGAAAGCUGUGCUAAUACCGCAUGUGAUCUGAGGAUGAAAGCGGGGGACCGAGCAGCAAUGUUUGGCCUCGCGCCUUUGGAGCGGCCGAUGUCGGAUUAGCUAGUUGGUGGGGUAAAGGCCUACCAAGGCGACGAUCCGUAGCUGGUCUGAGAGGACGACCAGCCACACUGGGACUGAGACACGGCCCAGACUCCUACGGGGGGCAGCAGUGGGGAAUUUUGGACAAUGGGCGCAAGCCUGAUCCAGCAAUGCCGCGUGCGGGAAGAUGGCCUUCGGGUUGUAAACCGCUUUUGGCAGGAACGAAACGGUGUCCGCUAAUACCGGGCGCUAAUGACGGUACCUGCAGAAUAAGCACCGGCUAACUACGUG